ACGUAGCCUAAGUAGUUGAUCUCUGUGGGAAUAUAUCUUAAACAAUACUAUAAAUUGACAGACUACGAACUUUAUUUUCUAUCAUCAACAACUUUAAUAAUUGCCACCCAUGCUAAAAUGAUAACCUUGCUAUAUAACUCAAUUAAAAUUCCUGUCCCCAAGCAGAAAAUACGAUCUCCUCCAUUCACAAGUCUAUGACAAUCAAAACAAAUGGGCACCCGAUUCCAGCUUUCUUAAACUACUUCACAUUAUACACAAAAUAACUCUUUCAGCAGGUCCACUAACUCCAAUCAUUUUGUAGAUAAUACCAAUCAGCCACUUAUUACAAAUGUUCUUUCCCUGAGAUAUUCAAGAAUGGAAGUUACAAGAUUAACUGGUUUUCAUGUUCUCCUAUAAAAACUUUUGAUGAAUGAAGGAAAUAAUUAAACGAAACGAAAUUUAAAACAGAUAAACAUAGGGAUUUAAGUUACCUAUUCCGAUAUCGGGAUGAAUUAUCACGAUAUUCAUCUUCGAGCUCCCUCGCUUCGCCAUUGCUGGUUCUCCCAAAAUAUGUCGCAUGAAAGAGCGGAGAUA
rnacentral:lncRNA from 1 species